rnacentral:lncRNA from 1 species
UCAAGUAAACAUUUUUGUUUCCACAGUGAUAAGCUUCUUUAUUUAGUUAAGAAUUACAUAUUAGAAUCUGCUAUGUAUGAAAGGACACACAUCUAAAUUAUAUAAGCGUAAGAAUAUUUUCAUCAAAUACUGAUUCAGCAUGUCUCUUCAGUUAUAUGUUGUAUAUGAGUUUAUUAUAAAAUGACUUCUCUUGAAUUUCUUUCUUAUUGAAGCUUAACCUUUAUGACAUCGCCAAAAAAUGUUGAGCCAUUCUUCAUAAGCUUAUCCAUUUCAGGCAUUAGCUAAAUGUCAUUUGGUGGCUUCUGUUACAUGAAUGUUGAAUCAGUAAGAGAAAUUAUCUGAAGUGGAUUUGAAGACUCUUCCUUUGAUUCUAGUGAAGAGAUCCUUUAAGACCCUGAGAAAACAUGUGGCAAUUCUCUGUGAAUUUGGAAAGGAAGCAUUCACCUAUGAAAGAAAAUGCUUCCAUCAGGUACUUCAAGGUUGAAGAGGCAGAGGACGAGUUAUCCACAAGGAAUUUGGAAGAGAAGCUUGUUUCAAAGUUGGAUGAGCCAUGAUUGAGGUUUUCUUGUAAUCAGCAAGCAAAAUAAAAACAAAAACAAGACAUGACAGAAAAAAAAAAACCAGUAUGUAAGUAGACGAAAUGACUUCCUGUUGGGGAGGUGUUUGACUGCGUGGGGGUGCACAUAAUCAAAAUCAUCAAUCCUACCCAAGCAUGACACUGGCAUAAAACACUACCAAAUGAUGACAUCCUGUUAUUCCUGCAUAAAAGAGAACAACUACCAAAUAAAUCAUUGUGUGGAAAAGAAUUGAUUUGGGAAUCAAUUGUCUGGGAAAGAAAAUCACAAAGAAGUGAUUGUGAAGACAUUCAUUUGUUCUUCAGAUAUGUAACUGUUUAAUCUGAAGUAAACUUUGGGAUGGAAAACUAUUAGGAACGUUUCUUGCUUAAUUUUGCCAUUGUACGCUCUGAUAUUGAUUGUUCAGGAUUAUUGAGCACACAUGCUGUAAUGAGAAUUGUAUAUAAUUUACUAUAUAUACUUACAUAUGAUAGACAUUAAAGGAUAUAUGUGUCUAGUAAUAGCAGAUGCAUGUUUCUGCCCACUAAAGAAAUGGUUGCAGCUUUUAAUAAAUAUGGCUAAGGGAAUGAUGUUAAGAUUACGUGUGUGUGUGUGUGUGUGUGUGUGUGUGUGCAUGCACAUAUUGUUCUGGAUUUCAAAUGAGUAUACAAAAUUAUCAUUAUCUUACACCACUUGCAUUGGGAUCUUCAGUUUUUCCUUCAAGAAGUGAAUUAUUAAUAAUAUAUUUAACUUUUAGAGUAUUAUUGUGGUAGGACUCGCCAGUUUCUUGCUACAACAUCUAUUCAUCCCUUUCUCUUUAGAAACAAACUAGAAUUUUUAUAUUGCUUCCCAUAAUAAAAAACAUAUUGCCUUCCAGAUUUUGCAGCUAAAUUUGGCUAUGGGACUAAAUUCUGGCCUUGAGUUGUUUAAGAGAGAUACUUGUGAGAGUUCUCUGAAGAUUGGUCAAAGGAAACUAACUCAGAUGGAAGAUCCAUUUGCCCUCCUGCCUUUCCUCUUAGCUUUUAGCCUGAAAAUCAGUGGUGAUGGCUGGAGAGCCAAUAGCCAUCUUGGAACACGACGUGAUUCUGAAGGUGGGAAGCAAGGCUGGGAUGGUACAGAAUAAAGAUAGGAACUUGGGUCCUUGAGAAAAUUGUGGAGCCACCAUAUCUACCUGUAAUUCCUACUUUCAGACCUUUUUCUAUGUGUGAGAGAUUUAUCUUAUUUAAGUCAUUGUUAUUUUUGUUGUUAAUACUGUUGUUGUUAAGCUAGCAUUCUAGUUGAGCCCAAGCUAGGACUCAGAGUCUGGUUAUAUCUGAUGAGCCCCUGGAUCAGCAUCCCUCAAUGCCAACUAUUAAAUGUAAUGGGUUAAUGAUGAAUGGAACUCUAUUUCACGUAACAAAGAACAACUUGUUAUGCCCAAAUAUUACGAGGUCAUAUUGCUCUUAUUUCUCUCUAACCUGAGAUUUGGGUCCGUGUUCUCUAUGAGAAAUUAGAAAUUUCUGUUGUGGUAUUCUGUUUUUGUGUUAGGAUCGUCACUGUAAAUCUACUUAAUAGUAAAAAUAAAAUCUUGCUUGGAAUUGUGAAUUAAAUGAAUUCUCCAUUGUGCAGAAACAGGAACAGCAUUAUAUUUUGUAUGUAAUACUCUUAAACAGUCAAUUCAUUUAUUCAAUUAAUAUUUUUGAGCUAUUAUGGGUUACAUAAGUUAUGGAGGGGCUUUGUUAUUUAGUCAACUCAUGUCCAAUAUCACAGGGGUCAGUUGUGAAUUUGGAAAAAAUAGAAGAAAAGAAAAAUUAAAGCAAAUGACAAAAGUCUAAAUAUUUUCCUCAAAUAAU